rnacentral:lncRNA from 10 species
CUCCUGCCUUGGCCUCCCAAAGUGUUGGGAUUGGAGGCUUCAGCCACCACACCAGGCCAGUUUAGUAAGAUUCUGACCCUCGAUGAUCCUGUGGAUAAUUUUUCUCUUCAAAUGUCACAUGUCGGAUACCUGUUGAAUGGCUCACUCCAGAGAGGAAAAAGAAGACCAGAACUGAACCAAGCUUGCCCAGUCAUGCAUCCUAAAAUAUCAACUGGAAGGCACUCUCUGUCCCUUGGUGGGCAGUA